UACGUAGGGGUCGAGCGUUGUCCGGAGUUACUGGGCGUAAAGCGCGCGUAGGCGGCCAGAUAAGUCCGGUGUGAAAGUCAAAGGCUCAACCUUUGAAUGCCGCUGGAAACUGUCUGGCUUGAGUCCGGAAGGGGCGAGUGGAAUUCCUGGUGUAGCGGUGAAAUGCGCAGAUAUCAGGAGGAACACCGGUGGCGAAGGCGGGUCUCUGGGCCGAUAUUGACGCUGGAGGAGCGAAAGCGUGGGGAGCGAACAGG
rnacentral:rRNA from 1 species